rnacentral:rRNA from 1 species
GAUGAACGCUGGCGGCGUGCCUAAUACAUGCAAGUCGAGCGAACAGACGAGGAGCUUGCUCCUCUGACGUUAGCGGCGGACGGGUGAGUAACACGUGGAUAACCUACCUAUAAGACUGGGAUAACUUCGGGAAACCGGAGCUAAUACCGGAUAAUAUAUUGAACCGCAUGGUUCAAUAGUUAAAGACGGUUUUGCUGUCACUUAUAGAUGGAUCCGCGCCGCAUUAGCUAGUUGGUAAGGUAACGGCUUACCAAGGCAACGAUGCGUAGCCGACCUGAGAGGGUGAUCGGCCACACUGGAACUGAGACACGGUCCAGACUCCUACGGGAGGCAGCAGUAGGGAAUCUUCCGCAAUGGGCGAAAGCCUGACGGAGCAACGCCGCGUGAGUGAUGAAGGUCUUCGGAUCGUAAAACUCUGUUAUUAGGGAAGAACAACUGUGUAAGUAACUAUGCACGUCUUGACGGUACCUAAUCAGAAAGCCCCGGCUAACUACGUG